rnacentral:lncRNA from 1 species
AAAACGGAUUAAAAUAAUCUUGUUUCUGAAAGUAGAUUGUCUAGUUUUGACCACGUGAUUUGUUAAAUGGCAGCUCUCACCUCGUAUGUCUUCCAGCACAGAAACUUCGAAAACUAGAAAAAAAAAAAGAUUGGGAAACUGGACAGACCAGACUGUAUAUAUAUUAAUUGACAUAUGGAGGGAAUAUGUCUACGAAAUUCGUAAAGUGAUACGUAAUCGGCCUAUUUACAUUAACAUGGCUCAAGAUCUUAAUGCAAGAAUAAGUGGUGAAUGGACUUGGGUGGAAGUUCAAAAUAAAAUAAAAAAUUAUGACAGCGAAG